rnacentral:rRNA from 1 species
CUACGGGGGGCAGCAGUGGGGAAUAUUGGACAAUGGACCAAAAGUCUGAUCCAGCAAUUCUGUGUGUUUGAUGAAGGCCUUCGGGCUGUAAAGAACUUUAAGUAGGGAAGAAGAAAGUGACGGUACCUACAGAAUAAGCGACGGCUAAAUACGUGCCAGCAGCCGCGGUAAUACGUAUGUCGCAAGCGUUAUCCGGAAUUAUUGGGCAUAAAGCGCGUCUAGGCGGUUUACUAAGUCUGAUGUGAAAAUGCGGGGCUCAACUCCGUAUUGCGUUGGAAACUGGUAGACUAGAGUAUUGGAGAGGUAGGCGGAACUACAAGUGUAGAGGUGAAAUUCGUAGAUAUUUGUAGGAAUGCCAAUGACGAAGGUAGCUUACUGGACAAAUACUGACGCUGAGGCGCGAAAGCUAGGGGAGCAAACAGGAUUAGAUACCCCCGUAGUC